CCCCCCCCGCCGCAAAAACAAUGUCGAUCGAAAACUAAUCCGAGGCGGCUACUAUAGCCUCGGGGCCAGCACGAUGAAACUUUAGAAUUUGGGGCUGUGUUGAGGCGAGUACUGUUCGUGGCUGGAAAGAUGGCUAGACGCAGGAACAAGAAACGUGCUCUGCUUUCUCCUCCUUCGAUCCGUAAAUCUACAUGACAGAUUUGUAGACACGAACAUUGCGGUCAAUAAAAAUAAACGUGUUCUAUUUUUAAGAUCCUGUCAACAGAAGAUGGUUCUUCUACGUUAUAAACCAAUCAGGCCUACAUUUCAACUGCGAACAAUAAUACAACUUUUGAGUUAGGUUCCAGAUGAUUGUGUGAUUCGAAGAAAACUGCAUAAUCUCAUAGUGAAAAUGACCAUCUUCACGUACUUGCGGUUCUUCGAAUUUUAAUCGCGUUCUUAUUAAUACGCUGUGCUCUGUUCCAAAGGUUCGAAAAUAUUCCAGUUCGCUUCUUCAACGUGUGCAAUUAUUCAUCUAUGAUCGUGACGACAAUUUUCACGUCUGCCUUGACAUGCGAAAUAUUAUAUAUAACAAAAAAGGUUAAUUUAAAGAUAUCGUGCUUGUCUCAUUUUAUUUAUAUAUAAAAGAUAAAAUGUCAAACACAGCCGCUUGUAAAUGAAGAGAGAUAAGCAAAAUUAUUUCAUGUAUGUUUACUUAAAUAAUAUUUACUUAAAUUAUAUACGAUCACAGAGGAGAAUGCUAUUAGCAUAACUGCAUUUAGUACAUAUCUCGUACAGUUCUAUUAUACGAUUGUUUUUCAACAGAAAUAGCCACAGCGAUGAAGCUGCGAGACCAAAAAUAUUUCUUGUCAAGUGUCACGAUUCCGAAUUCUUUGUUAUCGAUUCUUUCGUCGAGUUGCUGUAGUAUUUGUCUCGGCUCUUAUUGAUCCAAAUAUAAAGGUAUCAAGUUCUAAGAGUCUCGGAUUUUACAUACUUAUCGAAUCCCACAGAUUCUAAUACGUUUCUUUCAAAUCCCUUAAAAAAGGUUGUGUGUAUCGAGCUCUAUAAAAUCGUAAUUAUUGGAGUUAUGUAAAUUUCAAAAAGUAGAUAUAAUAAUAUAGAAAGACAUGGAUUAUUAUAAUCGUUGGUGCAGCAUUGGUCCAUUGUCGGUAUUUAAAUCUUAUUUUCUUCGGGGAUACUAAGUAGCUUAUACUUCUUUAAAUCUCAUGUAUUACGUCUGGCUUUUAAAUAGGAAAGCAUGAAUUCUUCUUCUUAAUCCUCGUAAUAAUCUUGCUUUAUACAGUAAUACAGCUAUUAUCUUUUAAAUUCACUACGAUGUCUAAAGUGCUUAUUACAUCUCACAUGAGAAGGAUCUAAUAUUUAAAAGCUUAAAAGGAAAGUGACUUUUAUUAAUGAAAUAACCUUUUGAAAUUUGAUCGAAUAUAUUUUCGAAAAAUCUUUUUAAUACAUUUAGUAACGUAACAAUACCUUUUUUAUAUCUUCUUCUGCGAUGAUUGAAAUUGAUACGAGAUUGGGUAUAUUAGGUAUCAUCCAUAUGGCUAUCUAAUCUUUAAAGCAACAAUAUGAACAACGACAUAAUUAACGCAAAGGGAAAAUUACAGGUUAGUCAAUUACGUACACGCGUUCAAUACGUUUGUUUAAUUACAUCUGGAAUUAAUUACUUUAAUGUAGCGUUUAUGCGCGUACUAGGCAAUUAAUGGAAGAACCCUAUGAUGUAACGCGCAUAAAUUACGAUCACAAUUGCUGAUUUGCACGUUAGUCCAUUACUGAAACUGCAAGAACUUAGUGUUCUCAAUGGACUAACCCUAAAAGAAACAGCCAAUCGAUUUUUCAACAAAAAUAAAAAUUAUCCACUUCCCAUAUGAGAGAAAUAAAACGUGAAUAUAUUUAUAAAAAUUGCCAACAGUUCGAUAAAAGCAGUCUGUGUCUCGAACCUGUUUUAAAAAUACUAUAUACAAAAUUAUGAUAUCAUUUUCUGUAACGUAAAAGACUAUCGUUAAGCUACGUAAAGAAUUAAAACAGUUGCAA